rnacentral:rRNA from 1 species
CCUACGGGCGGCAGCAGUGGGGAAUAUUGGACAAUGGGCGAAAGCCUGAUCCAGCCAUGCCGCGUGUGUGAAGAAGGCCUUCGGGUUGUAAAGCACUUUCAGUGGGGAAGAAAGCCUUGGGGCUAAUACCCUCGAGGAAGGACAUCACCCACAGAAGAAGCACCGGCUAACUCCGUGCCAGCAGCCGCGGUAAUACGGAGGGUGCGAGCGUUAAUCGGAAUUACUGGGCGUAAAGCGCGCGUAGGCGGUCUGAUAAGCCGGUUGUGAAAGCCCCGGGCUCAACCUGGGAACGGCAUCCGGAACUGUCAGGCUAGAGUGCAGGAGAGGAAGGUAGAAUUCCCGGUGUAGCGGUGAAAUGCGUAGAGAUCGGGAGGAAUACCAGUGGCGAAGGCGGCCUUCUGGACUGACACUGACGCUGAGGUGCGAAAGCGUGGGUAGCAAACAGGAUUAGAUACCCCGGUAGU